rnacentral:rRNA from 1 species
GAUUGAAUGGCUUAGUGAGGCCUUCGGACUGGCUCAGGGAGGUCGGCAACGACCACCCAGAGCCGGAAAGUUCGUCAAACUUGGUCAUUUAGAGGAAGUAAAAGUCGUAACAAGGUUUCCGUAGGUGAACCUGCGGAAGGAUCAUUACAGAAAGUAAACGCGGAUCAAACCGCGAACUUCUAAACCUUUGACGAUUGACUCAUGUUGCCUCGGCGGGUUCUCCCGCCAGAGGAUACAUCAAAACUCCUGUUUUAACGGUGUUGUCUGAGCUACAAGCAACGAAUCAAAACUUUCAACAACGGAUCUCUUGGUUCUGGCAUCGAUGAAGAACGCAGCGAAAUGCGAUAAGUAGUGUGAAUUGCAGAAUUCAGUGAAUCAUCGAAUCUUUGAACGCACAUUGCGCCCCUUGGUAUCCCGAGGGGCAUGCCUGUUCGAGCGUCAUUUCACCACUCAAGCCUGGCUUGGUGUUGGGCGACGUCCCCUUUAGAGACGCGCCUCGAAACGCUCGGCGGCGUGGCACCGGCUUUAAGCGUAGCAGAAUCUUUCGCUUUGAAAGUCGGGGCCCCGUCUGCCGGAAGACCUACUCGCAAGGUUGACCUCGGAUCAGGCAGGGAUACCCGCUGAACUUAAGCAUAUCAAUAAGCGGAGGAAAAGAAACCAACAGGGAUUGCCUCAGUAACGGCGAGUGAAGCGGCAACAGCUCAAAUUUGAAAUCUGGCUCUUUUAGGGUCCGAGUUGUAAUUUGUAGAGGAUGCUUCGGCGUCGGCUCCGGUCUAAGUUCCUUGGAACAGGACGUCAUAGAGGGUGAGAAUCCCGUAUGUGAUCGGUUGCCCUUGCCAUGUGAAGCUCCUUCGACGAGUCGAGUUGUUUGGGAAUGC